rnacentral:lncRNA from 1 species
AAUUUCAUAUCAAACAGAUAGAAGGUGAAGUGGGAUUCCAAACAUAAUAUGGUCCAUCCAUUUCUGAAUGACCACCAAACAUAAUCUAAAGCAUCGCGGGCUCUAAGCACAUACCUUUUACCAUUUUUGGCAAAGGUCCAAAUAAUCCCACAAACACCAUAGUACAAAAGGGUAUUGUGAAUAAUGAAUUGGGACAUAUCGGAAGCA